GUCGAUGGAAUUCAAUGGUGGGAUGUCAGCUUCCCAAGCUGAAUACGCGGGUUCGAUUCCCGUCAUCGGCUCCA
rnacentral:tRNA from 1 species